UGUCCAGUAACUUCUAUCCCUACCUCCCCGUGGUGCCACUUGGGUUACCGUAAAGAAGAUCGGGUAACCAACCCCGCUUGGAUUUUGGUCGUAUGUUGACAAGGAAGA
rnacentral:ribozyme from 1 species